UACAGAGGUCUCAAGCGUUGUUCGGAUUCAUUGGGCGUAAAGGGGCGCGUAGGCUGCGGGGCAAGUCGGGUGUGAAAUCUCAGAGCUCAACUCUGAAACUGCACUCGAUACUGCUUUGCUCGAGGACUGGAGAGGAGAUUGGAAUUCACGGUGUAGCAGUGAAAUGCGUAGAUAUCGUGAGGAAGACCAGUGGCGAAGGCGGGUCUCUGGGCCGAUACUGACGCUGAGGAGCGAAAGCGUGGGGGAGCGAACAGG
rnacentral:rRNA from 1 species